rnacentral:rRNA from 1 species
GCACUGAGCCUGGUCNCGCGAUGCAUCUACNUUAUGGNUUACGUCAGCUCGUGUGGUGACAUGUUGGGUUAAGUCCCGCAACGAGCGCAACCCUUGUCUCUAGUUGCCAGCAUUCAGUUGGGCUCUCUAGAGAGACUGCCGUGGUGAACACGGAGGAAGGUGGGGAUGACGUCAAGUCCUCAUGGCCUUUAUAUCCAGGGCGACACACGUGAUACGAUGGUACGGUACAUGAGGGACGCGAACCCGCGAGGGGGAGCUAAUCUCAAAAAGCCGAUCUCAGUUCGGAUUGGAGUCUGCAACUCGACUCCAUGAAGUUGGNAUCGCUAGUAAUACGCGGAUCAGCACGCCGCGGUGAAUACGGUUUCCGGGGCCCUUGGUUCCCAUACGGCCCGAUGCGGNGCGUGUGGGCGGCGGUGCCGGNAUCGGAUCCACUUGGGCGCCGCUCUUUCCCGNGACUUUCCUUCCGGUUCCANCGUUGCACCUCCGCCUUGCUGCCUCCGGGUCCCGNNAUCCGGGCUUGCCGAGUCNNAAUCCCGAGGUCUCUUCNCCAGGCUUCCACCUUCCCCAAACAAGAGGGGNCCGGGAGCGAACACAUUAAACCCGCGGGUGACGCAUAUCCCCCAACACAGA